rnacentral:rRNA from 1 species
AACGAACGCUGGCGGCAGGCCUAACACAUGCAAGUCGAGCGGACCCUUCGGGGUUAGCGGCGGACGGGUGAGUAACGCGUGGGAACGUGGCCUUUGCUUCGGAAUAGCCCUGGGAAACUGGGAGUAAUACCGGAUACGCCCUUUUGGGGAAAGAUUUAUCGGCGAAGGAUCGGCCCGCGUUGGAUUAGGUAGUUGGUGGGGUAAUGGCCUACCAAGCCGACGAUCCAUAGCUGGUUUGAGAGGAUGAUCAGCCACACUGGGACUGAGACACGGCCCAGACUCCUACGGGAGGCAGCAGUGGGGAAUCUUAGACAAUGGGGGAAACCCUGAUCUAGCCAUGCCGCGUGAGCGAUGAAGGCCUUAGGGUUGUAAAGCUCUUUCACCGGGGAAGAUAAUGACGGUACCCGGAGAAGAAGCCCCGGCUAACUCCGUG